GAACUGGAGCAAAGCCAAAGGCCAUCAUAUCAUCCCUGUUACAUCAGCAGACUGAGGAGGAGGAACUGGAGCAAAGCCAAAGGUCAUCAUAUCAUCCCUGUUACAUCAGCAGACUGAGGAGGAGGGACUGGAGCAAAGCCAAAGGUCAUCAUAUCAUCCCUGUUACAUCAACAGACUGAGGAGGAGGGACUGGAGCAAAGCCAAAGGUCAUCAUAUCAUCCCUGUUACAUCAACAGACUGAGGAGGAGGGACUGGAGCAAAG